AACGAACGCUGGCGGCAUGCCUAACACAUGCAAGUCGAACGAAGCCUUCGGGCUUAGUGGCGCACGGGUGCGUAACGCGUGGGAAUCUGCCCUUUGGUUCGGAAUAACAGUUGGAAACGACUGCUAAUACCGGAUGAUGACAAAAGUCCAAAGAUUUAUCGCCAGAGGAUGAGCCCGCGUAGGAUUAGCUAGUUGGUGUGGUAAAGGCGCACCAAGGCGACGAUCCUUAGCUGGUCUGAGAGGAUGAUCAGCCACACUGGGACUGAGACACGGCCCAGACUCCUACGGGAGGCAGCAGUGGGGAAUAUUGGACAAUGGGCGAAAGCCUGAUCCAGCAAUGCCGCGUGAGUGAUGAAGGCCCUAGGGUUGUAAAGCUCUUUUACCCGGGAUGAUAAUGACAGUACCGGGAGAAUAAGCUCCGGCUAACUCCGUGCCAGCAGCCGCAGUAA
rnacentral:rRNA from 1 species